rnacentral:tRNA from 1 species
GCCCCCGUAGUAUAAAUCAAUACACCAGUCUUGUAAACUGGAAACGGACACCCUUCCCUGGGGCA